rnacentral:rRNA from 1 species
UGCCGUGAGGUGUUGGGUUAAGUCCCGCAACGAGCGCAACCCUCGUCGUUAGUUACUAUGUCUAGCGAGACUGCUCCUAAAAGGGGAGAGGAAGGUGGGGACGAGGUCAAGUCGGCACGGCUCUUACGCCCAGGGCUACACACACGCUACAAUGGUCAGAACAGAGGGUCGCGAUGGCGCGAGCCGGAGCUAAUCCCACAAAUCUGGCCCCAGUUGGAAUUGCAGGCUGAAACUCGCCUGCAUGAACGCGGAGUCGCUAGUAAUCGCAGGUCAGCACACUGCGGUGAAUACGUUCCCGGGGAUUGUACACACCGCCCGUCAAGUCAUGGAAGUCGGUAACACUUGAAGUCGCUGGGCUAACCCGCAAGGGAGGCAGGCGCCGAGGGUGGGACUGGUGACUGGGACUAAGUCGUAACAAGGUAGCUGUACCGGAAGGUGCGGCUGGAUCACCUCCUUUCUAGGGAG